GACUACAUAGCUCAGUGGUUAGAGCACUGGUCUUGUUAACCAAGGGUUGUGAGUUCAAAUCUCAAGGGUAGUCU